AAUGAACAAAUUUCACGAUUUUUUAAUCUACGGAAGACAAAACGGGACAUAAUUUACGUCGUGAAUUUGCAUUAUUUUAUUAUAACAAGGUAUUUUUAUUGUACUGUCGGGGACCAUCAAACGAACACUUUUUGAACAAUUUUCCGUACAAAUUUCAUAAUUUCUAACCUAGACACCUUAAAAUUUGACACUGUUCAGCUAGGUUCUUCUCCUAACUAACAAACUAGUUUGUUUAUUUCUGAUUGUAUUGACACUUAUAUCUGAGGCCCCACAAGGAGGGUAUCAAAAUUACCUAACUUGUCUACACUACAGUACCAUGUGUCCGGACAGAUAUGUACAUCACGUGGGGUGUUUUGAUUUUAGAUUUUUAACAUGAUAUACAAUAUUUCAGCAACAAAUGCUGAAGUUUUGGAUAUUAUAUUGAUUACUCUGCAAAUGAUUAUAGCUGGUAUAUGAGGUCAGGCAAUGCUUUCUUGACCCCCAAAUUUCAACGUCAACAUUCUAGAAAUAGACAACAAAAAUAUUACCAUUUAUGUAGGUUGAAAUAAAUUUAUUUACGUAAUAACCACAACCACUGAACAAAGAAAAUACUAAAUAAAGCAUUUUCGGGGCCGUCCGGGUUUGGUGGUUGUCUGGUUUUGGUGGUCCCAAACCAGUAUAUAAAACAAUAUUCAGAUUUACAUGUACGUAUAUAUAAAUUUAUAUUUAGAUAUAUAUUUUGCAUUAUUAAACAUGUAAAUGUACAUAAAUAAAAUCAAUACUUAAUUUCAGAUAGGACAUCCAUGAUUUACACACCAAUGGUCAUAUGAUGAUUAUCUAAUGUUCAGCUGUCUCUUGUAUCAAGGUGAGUCAUACUUUAAGUAUUAUCUAUGCACAAUUUCUAUCUAUAAUAUAUGAACAAUGUGUGUUUUAACUUGUCCUUUUUUUAAAUAUGCUAUUAUGUGAAAUGGACCACACCAGUAGCUCUUCAUAGGAAAUUUGCAAAAUCGCUCCCGAGCUUUCAUACUACAUGAUUGCCCGGAACAUACAAUACAUUCCAUAUAUGUUCACCUUCCUCGGUCUGUUGUGAUUGUAUAACUUACUGAUUUAAUAUUUUAAAAAUGCAAAGUAUAACAUAGUACGGAUAUUUUUUGUUAUUGCCUACAUUUAACACCUAUGGAAAGUAAUGCCGAAUAUUCAAAUUGGCAUUGGCCAAAUGACGUCACGCUUUAUUAAUCAAAGUGGAAAAAUGAAAUGAACGAUUAUGUCAUUUGAGUAUCGGUUCAUGCAAAAUAUACUUGUUUCUUUUAAAUACAAAGUUAGUAUGCUAAUAUAAAUAUAUGAUAAAUUCAUACAUGAUUUCUCACAAAAUAUGUCUUUUAUUUCUAUAGAUGAUACAAGCCACAUUAACAAACCAUGCUGAUGGAACCAAUAACGAUAUGAAGGGCAUUGCAUUUCGGUAUGUUUAUACUGACUACUGUAUAUUAAAUUAAUAAAAACUCAUGACAAUUUCUCUGUAAAUAUACACAUGCUUGCCAUUAAGUUUUCGGAUAAAGGUUUAAUGUAUUGUUAAAUGCAGGGAAAUAACAUAGGCUAUUUAAGGUAGGCUGAAAUAAAUGCACAUUUCAUACUGAAUAUUUCUAUACUGAAUAUUUUUUUUCAGAAACCCGUUGUGCAUUUCUGAUUUCGGGAUCUACAAGUAAAUAUCAACAUGGCAACAGAUUCUACAACGUGCGUAUUUUGUGCGCAGGAUAUCCAGAAUAGGUCCCAAUUGUCACUCUCAGAGAGAAGGGAAGCAACAGUGUUAACUAUGCUAGCGAUCUGAGGAAUUCAAGUAUACAAGUAUACAAACAAUUACAGGCCAAAUUGUGCACCAAGACUGUAGAAGGGAUUUUAUUCACAAUAGAAACAUUUCAAAUAGUUCCAAUGUUAAGUGUAACCUAGUUAAAAGACCUUUAAGAUCAAAUGCUAAUUUUGCUUUUAAGUGUAAUUGCUUGUUCUGUGGUAAGCCUGCUAAAGUUGCAUCUGGUAAACGUAGAUGUUCAUCCUGGUAGAAGUUUUGAUUUUCAGGAAACACAUCGUCGGAACCCACGGUACACAUUCCGUAUAUACUACAUUUAAUAUUAUUACCGAUACAUAUAUACGGUAAAUAGCCUGGGUUACCGAGGAUGCAGGAAACAAUACAACUCAAAUGUUCUGAGAGAAACAAUCUGUGGGGAAAUGUUGUUUUAAACAGACUGUUGUCAGUUUUGGAUUUUCGUCAGAUUCGAAGAAUGUAUAUUUCAGAUCAGACAAUGAAAACCCAAAUAGUUUGGCAUAUAUAUUCAAAAGACACCAAAAUGUGAUUGGAAUAGAGAUUUGUUAUCUCCUACCAUUCCUGCACGCUUUCUCUGGUUGCGACAGUUCUUAAAAUAAUGUGUAAAAAUGAAGUGUUCCGGCAAAAUGCUGCAAUAUUUCAUUCUUCAACAAACAAAGAAGAAAUUAUUACAGGUGGUGAAAAUGCCAUGAGGAUAUUAUAUGAUGGAGCUAGGGAGAUAAAUUUGAACAGACUGAGAUUUCACAAA